UUAUUUGGGGCCUGGUCCAAAGCUCUUUGAAAUCAGUGGGAGUUUUUCUAUUGAGUUCAGUGAGCUUUGGAUCAGGCCUUUGUUGC
rnacentral:pre_miRNA from 1 species